ensembl:lncRNA
AUUGCAAGUUACCACCUUUUAAGGGAGUUCAACCUUUCAAAAUAGUCUAUGUUUUAAAAAAUAAUAAUGUCUACUAUAGGACCCCUACAACUAAGCCUGUAAUGGCUCAACCACUAGCUUGAGGGCUAUGGGGAGGGGGGCUCAGCCGUGGGGGUUUUCAUAAACCUCUCCAAGUAGUUGGGAGUUGCCCAAGGGAUGGAGAUUGGCCUGUUGCCUGUCUCGUUCUCACCCUCCUCUGAACCUUGCAAACUUCUUGUGCACAGAGGGAUCCCCCACCUGAAAAGUGGCCCCACUCUUACUAUCUAGCCCAAGUUAGGUAGUAAAUCCAUACCCUUUGGCCCAGUGAUAAUAGCCUGGUGGAACAAGUAGAUUAUCAUGGAAAGGCCUUGUACAGGAUCUCCUUUGCAGCCCUGCCUGUCAUAACAGGAGCACUGGACAGCCCAAAGCCCACCUGCAAGGACUGGUUAAACCCAGUAGAGUCACCCCAUACAACAAAAUAGUAUGUCCCCUCUAAAAAAAGGGAUGGCCAUGGACUUCCCACUGUGGCUCAGUGGUAACAAACCCAACUGGUAUCCAUGAGGAUGUGGGUUCAAUCCCUGGGCUCACUCAGUGGGUUAAGGAUCUGGCAUUGCCAUGAGCUGUGGUGUAGUCACAGAUGUGGCUCGGAUCUGGCGUUGCUGUGGCUGUGGUCAGCAGCUGUAGCUCUGAUUAGACCCCUAGCCUGAGACCCUCCAUAUGCUGCAGGUGUGGCCCUAAAAAGACAAAACAACAACAACAACAACAACAACGGGGAUGUCCAGCUAUGCAUAUGGAUAUAAAAGGUUGUCAUUAUAUAGUAAGUGUGGGGGGGGAGCAGAUUACAAAGCAAUAUAAAUAGGUUGCAUCUUAAAAAAAAAAAAAUAAGAGUAACUGUAUGACCACACACACGUAAAAAAACACCAGAAGGAUAUGAAUUGUGAUUCUCUGAGUAGGGGGGACACAGGGUUCUCUGUCAUUCUCUCUAAUCCCUUCUGUGUUUUCAGUUACUCGCAGAAAUUCCUUGAGCACCUACUAGACAAAAUCCUUGCUUUUGAGUAGCUUACAAUAUUGUUGAGAAGAGACAGAAAAUAAACAGAUACGCAAUUAAUUCCAAAUGCUGAUAAGUGCUGGGAAGAAAAUGAGACUGUUUAUUUGAGAGGAGCUGACUGGGGGAGGGUGAGGCUGACUUCAGCAGGAGUGGGAGAAGACGGCCACUCUGUAGAGAGGCCGUUUAAAUGAGACCUGAGAGAUCAGAGAGAGGCCCCCAGGUGAAAUCUGGGAUAGAAGUGUUCUAGGAAGAAGGAACCGCUAAUGCAAAGGCCCUGAGAAGGAGUUCCCGCUGUGGCUCAGCAGUAAAGAACUCAACUAGGAUCCAUAAGGAUGCGAGUUCAAUCCCUGGCCGCGCUCAUGGGUGAAGGAUCCAGCAUUGCUGUGAGCUGCGGUGUGGGUCACAGACACAGCCUGGGUCUGGCGUUACUAUGGCUAUGGCAUAGGCCGGCCGCUACAGCUCCAAUUCGACCCCUAGCCUGGGGACCCAUGGGUGAAGCCCUAAAAAGACAAAAAGAAAAAAA